GAAAUGCGAUAAGUAGUGUGAAUUGCAGAAUUCAGUGAAUCAUCGAAUCUUUGAACGCACAUUGCGCCCUUUGGCAUUCCGAAGGGCAUACCUGUUCGAGCGUCAGUUGCACAACUCAAGCACAGCUUGGUGAUGGGUGACUGUCCCCUCCUCGCGGGGGGACUCGCCUCAAAAACAUUGGCGGCCGGUACAUUGGCUUCGAGCGCAGCAGAAACGCGGUCUCGAGCCCGGUGGAUCGGCCCCCACAAGCCUAUUCUUUUAUUUUGACCUCGGAUCAGGUAGGGAUACCCGCUGAACUUAAGC
rnacentral:misc_RNA from 1 species